rnacentral:rRNA from 1 species
GAUCCGUAAUCCGGGUUGCGGACAGUGUCUGGUGGGUAGUUUGACUGGGGCGGUCUCCUCCUAAAGAGUAACGGAGGAGCACGAAGGUUGGCUAAUCCUGGUCGGACAUCAGGAGGUUAGUGCAAUGGCAUAAGCCAGCUUGACUGCGAGCGUGACGGCGCGAGCAGGUGCGAAAGCAGGUCAUAGUGAUCCGGUGGUUCUGAAUGGAAGGGCCAUCGCUCAACGGAUAAAAGGUACUCCGGGGAUAACAGGCUGAUACCGCCCAAGAGUUCAUAUCGACGGCGGUGUUUGGCACCUCGAUGUCGGCUCAUCACAUCCUGGGGCUGAAGUAGGUCCCAAGGGUAUGGCUGUUCGCCAUUUAAAGUGGUACGCGAGCUGGGUUUAGAACGUCGUGAGACAGUUCGGUCCCUAUCUGCCGUGGGCGCUGGAGAACUGAGGGGGGCUGCUCCUAGUACGAGAGGACCGGAGUGGACGCAUCACUGGUGUUCGGGUUGUCAUGCCAAUGGCACUGCCCGGUAGCUAAAUGCGGAAGAGAUAAGUGCUGAAAGCAUCUAAGCACGAAACUUGCCCCGAGAUGAGUUCUCCCUGAGACUUAGAGUCUCCUGAAGGAACGUUGAAGACGACGACGUUGAUAGGCCGGGUGUGUAAGCGCAGCGAUGCGUUGAGCUAACCGGUACUAAUGAACCGUGAGGCUUAACCUUACAACGCCGAAG